AUUGAACGCUGGCGGCAUGCUUUACACAUGCAAGUCGAACGGUAACAGGGAGCUUGCUCCGCUGACGAGUGGCGAACGGGUGAGUAAUAUAUCGGAACGUACCCAAGAGUGGGGGAUAACGUAGCGAAAGUUACGCUAAUACCGCAUACGAUCCAAGGAUGAAAGUGGGGGACCGCAAGGCCUCAUGCUCCUGGACCGGCCGAUAUCUGAUUAGCUAGUUGGUGAGGUAAAGGCUCACCAAGGCAACGAUCAGUAGCUGGUCUGAGAGGACGACCAGCCACACUGGGACUGAGACACGGCCCAGACUCCUACGGGAGGCAGCAGUGGGGAAUUUUGGACAAUGGGGGCAACCCUGAUCCAGCAAUGCCGCGUGAGUGAAGAAGGCCUUCGGGUUGUAAAGCUCUUUUGUCAGGGAAGAAACGGUUUCGGCUAAUAUCCGGAGCUAAUGACGGUACCUGAAGAAUAAGCACCGGCUAACUACGUGCCAGCCGCCGCCGUAAAAC
rnacentral:rRNA from 1 species